rnacentral:rRNA from 1 species
CGAGCGGGCGUAGCAAUACGUCAGCGGCAGACGGGUGAGUAACGCGUGGAACAUACCUUUUGGUUCGGAACAACACAGGGAAACUUGUGCUAAUACCGGAUAAGCCCUUACGGGGAAAGAUUUAUCGCCGAAAGAUUGGCCCGCGUCUGAUUAGCUAGUUGGUGAGGUAAUGGCUCACCAAGGCGACGAUCAGUAGCUGGUCUGAGAGGAUGAUCAGCCACAUUGGGACUGAGACACGGUCCAAACUCCUACGGGAGGCGGCAGUGGGGAAUAUUGGACAAUGGGCGCAAGCCUGAUCCAGCCAUGCCGCGUGAGUGAUGAAGGCCCUAGGGUUGUAAAGCUCUUUUGUGCGGGAAGAUAAUGACGGUACCGCAAGAAUAAGCCCCGGCUAACUUCGUGCCAGCAGCCGCG